rnacentral:rRNA from 1 species
GACGAACGCUGGCGGCGUGCUUAACACAUGCAAGUCGAACGAAGUGGCGAACGGGUGAGUAACGCGUAAUCAACCUGCCCUUCAGAGGGGGACAACAGUUGGAAACGACUGCUAAUACCGCAUACUGAAGGAGGGGAUUGCGUCUGAUUAGCUAGUUGGAGGGGUAACGGCCCACCAAGGCGAUGAUCAGUAGCCGGUCUGAGAGGAUGAACGGCCACAUUGGGACUGAGACACGGCCCAGACUCCUACGGGAGGCAGCAGUGGGGAAUCUUCCGCAAUGGACGAAAGUCUGACGGAGCAACGCCGCGUGAGUGAUGACGGCCUUCGGGUUGUAAAGCACUUUUGGCAGGAAAGCGGUACCUGCAGAAUAAGCACCGGCUAACUACGUGCCAGCAGCCGCGGUAAUUC